rnacentral:rRNA from 1 species
AGAGUGAACGCUGGCGGUAGGCCUAACACAUGCAAGUCGAACGGCAGCACAGUGGUAGCAAUACCAUGGGUGGCGAGUGGCGGACGGGUGAGGAAUACAUCGGAAUCUACCUUUUCGUGGGGGGAUAACGUAGGGAAACUUACGCUAAUACCGCAUACGCCCUUCGGGGGAAAGCCGGGGAUCGCAAGACCUGGCGCGGAUAGAUGAGCCGAUGUCGGAUUAGCUAGUUGGUGAGGUAAUGGCUCACCAAGGCGACGAUCCGUAGCUGGUCUGAGAGGAUGAUCAGCCACACUGGAACUGAGACACGGUCCAGACUCCUACGGGAGCAGCAGUGGGAAUUUUGGACAAUGGGGGAAACCCUGACUCCAGCCAUCCCGCGUGUGCGAUGAAGGCCGUUACGGUUGUAAGCUACUUUUGGACAGGAAGAAACGGCGUUAG